CAAUAGCGUAUAUUAAAGUUGUUGCGGUUAAAAAGCUCGUAGUUGGAUUUCUGCUGAGAACGACCGGUCCGCCCUUUGGGUGUGUAUCUGGCUCUUUCUUGGCAUCUUCUUGGUGAACGUUGCUGCACUUGACUGUGUGGAGCGCUACCCAGGACUUUUACUUUGAGGAAAUUAGAGUGUUUCAAGCAGGCAUACGCCUUGAAUACAUUAGCAUGGAAUAAUAAGAUAGGACCUCGGUUCUAUUUUGUUGGUUUCUAGAGCUGAGGUAAUGAUUAAUAGGGAUAGUUGGGGGCAUUCGUAUUUAACUGUCAGAGGUAAAAUUCUUGGAUUUGUUAAAGACGGACUACUGCGAAAGCAUUUGCCAAGGAUGUUUUCAUUGA
rnacentral:rRNA from 1 species